CUGUUGGCUUUUGUACACAUAGACUAAAAUUGAAAUGAUGCAGAGAGGACUGGCAUAGACCCUGAAAAAUAAUGACACAGAGAUUUUGAAAUGAUCCCUAUUUUA
ensembl:snRNA U6 U6 spliceosomal RNA